rnacentral:rRNA from 1 species
ACGUAGGUGGCAAGCGUUAUCCGGAAUUAUUGGGCGUAAAGCGCGCGCAGGUGGUUUCUUAAGUCUGAUGUGAAAGCCCACGGCUCAACCGUGGAGGGUCAUUGGAAACUGGGAGACUUGAGUGCAGAAGAGGAAAGUGGAAUUCCAUGUGUAGCGGUGAAAUGCGUAGAGAUAUGGAGGAACACCAGUGGCGAAGGCGACUUUCUGGUCUGUAACUGACACUGAGGCGCGAAAGCGUGGGGAGCAAACAGGAUUAGAUACCCUGGUAGUCCACGCCGUAAACGAUGAGUGCUAAGUGUUAGAGGGUUUCCGCCCUUUAGUGCUGAAGUUAACGCAUUAAGCACUCCGCCUGGGGAGUACGGCCGCAAGGCUG